GAUGAACGCUGGCGGCGUGCCUAAUACAUGCAAGUCGAGCGAACGGACGAGAAGCUUGCUUUUCUGAUGUUAGCGGCGGACGGGUGAGUAACACGUGGAUAACCUACCUAUAAGACUGGGAUAACUUCGGGAAACCGGAGCUAAUACCGGAUAAUAUUUUGAACCGCAUGGUUCAAAAGUGAAAGACGGUCUUGCUGUCACUUAUAGAUGGAUCCGCGCUGCAUUAGCUAGUUGGUAAGGUAACGGCUUACCAAGGCAACGAUGCAUAGCCGACCUGAGAGGGGAACCGGCACACUCGAAAUUGGGAACCGGCCCAGCCCCCAACGGGAGGCAGAAGUAGGGAAUCUUCCGCAAUGGGCGAAAGCCUGACGGAGCAACCCCGCGGGGGGUAGGAAGGUUUUCGGAUCGUAAAACUCUGUUAUUGGGGAAAAACAAAUGUGUAAGUAACUGUGCACAUUUUGACGGUACCAAAGAAGAAAGCCCCGGCUAACUACGU
rnacentral:rRNA from 1 species